rnacentral:rRNA from 1 species
GACGGAGGGAGCUAGCGUUGUUCGGAAUUACUGGGCGUAGAGCGCACGUAGGCGGCUUUUCAAGUCAGGGGUGAAAUCCCGGGGCUCAACCCCGGAACUGCCCUUGAAACUGGAUGGCUAGAAUCCUGGAGAGGCGAGUGGAAUUCCGAGUGUAGAGGUGAAAUUCGUAGAUAUUCGGAAGAACACCAGUGGCGAAGGCGACUCGCUGGACAGGUAUUGACGCUGAGGCGCGAAAGCGUGGGGAGCAAACAGG